rnacentral:rRNA from 1 species
AUUGAACGCUGGCGGCAUGCCUUACACAUGCAAGUCGAACGGUAACGCGGGGCAACCUGGCGACGAGUGGCGAACGGGUGAGUAAUGUAUCGGAACGUGCCCAGUUGUGGGGGAUAACUGCUCGAAAGAGCAGCUAAUACCGCAUACGACCUGAGGGUGAAAGCGGGGGAUCGCAAGACCUCGCGCAAUUGGAGCGGCCGAUAUCAGAUUAGGUAGUUGGUGAGGUAAAGGCUCACCAAGCCGACGAUCUGUAGCUGGUCUGAGAGGACGACCAGCCACACUGGGACUGAGACACGGCCCAGACUCCUACGGGAGGCAGCAGUGGGGAAUUUUGGACAAUGGACGCAAGUCUGAUCCAGCCAUGCCGCGUGCGGGAAGAAGGCCUUCGGGUUGUAAACCGCUUUUGUCAGGGAAGAAACGCUCUGGGUUAAUACCUCGGGGUAAUGACGGUACCUGAAGAAUAAGCACCGGCUAACUACGUGCCAGCAGCCGCAGUAAGAC